GGUUGAUCCUGCCAGUAGUCAUAUGCUUGUCUCAGAGAUUAAGCCAUGCAUGUCUAAGUAUAAGCUAUCUUAUACAGCGAAACUGCGAAUGGCUCAUUAAAUCAGUUAUAGUCUACUUGAUCGUAUCUUCUUACAUGGAUAACCGUAGUAAAUCUAGAGCUAAUACAUGCUAAAAAUCCUGGACGCGGCAACGCGGAAGGGACGAGUUUAUUAGAUUAAAAACCGACACCUCUCCGCGAGGGGAGGUAGCACAGGUGAUUCACAGUAACCGAUCGGAUCGUCGGCCCCGCCG
rnacentral:rRNA from 1 species